UACGUAGGGGGCAAGCGUUGUCCGGAUUUAUUGGGCGUAAAGAGCGUGUAGGUGGUCGUACAGGUCAGCUGUGAAAACUCGAGGCUCAACCUCGAGACGUCGGUUGAAACCGUAUGGCUAGAGUCCGGAAGAGGAGAGUGGAAUUCCCGGUGUAGCGGUGAAAUGCGCAGAUAUCGGGAAGAACACCCGUGGCGAAGGCGGCUCUCUGGGACGGUACUGACGCUGAGACGCGAAAGCGUGGGGAGCAAACAGG
rnacentral:rRNA from 1 species